GACGAACGCUGGCGGCGUGCUUAACACAUGCAAGUCGAACGGAAGGGCCCUGCUUUUGUGGUGUGCUCGAGUGGCGAACGGGUGAGUAACACGUGAGUAACCCGCCUUUGAUUUUGGGAUAACUUCAGGAAACUGGGGCUUAUACCGGAUUCGAUUUUCUGCUGCAUGGUGGGGGUUGGAAAGUUUCGGCGGUUGGGGAUGGACCCGCGGCUUAUCAGCUUGUUGGUGGGGUAGUGGCUUACCAAGGCUUUGACGGGUAGCCGGCCUGAGAGGGUGACCGGCCACAUUGGGACUGAGAUACGGCCCAGACUCCUACGGGAGGCAGCAGUGGGGAAUAUUGCACAAUGGGCGGAAGCCUGAUGCAGCAACGCCGCGUGCGGGAUGACGGCCUUCGGGUUGUAAACCGCUUUCGCCUGUGACGAAGCGUGAGUGACGGUAGUGGGUAAAGAAGCACCGGCUAACUACGUG
rnacentral:rRNA from 1 species